UACGGGGGGGGCAAGCGUUGUUCGGAAUUACUGGGCGUAAAGGGCGCGUAGGCGGCUUGGCAAGUGGAAGGUGAAAUCCCUCGGCUUAACCGAGGAACUGCCCUCCAAACUGCUUUGCUUGAGGCCGGGAGAGGUGAGUGGAAUUCCCAGUGUAGCGGUGAAAUGCGUAGAUAUCAGGAGGAACACCGAUGGCGAAGGCAGGUCUCUGGGCUGACACUGACGCUCAUGCACGAAAGCGUGGGGAGCAAACAGG
rnacentral:rRNA from 1 species